CAGGAGCACUUCUGGUUUUUCGGAGCCAAUUUGUCACGGGCCUGGGCUCUGGUUAUGACAGGUUUUUCGAACCCAAUCCACUCCAAUCCCAAGCCAAGUCAAGCCAAUCCAAUCUGAGCCGAGCCGAGAAGAGCCGAGUUGAGUUGAGUCAAAUGGAGUUGAGUGUAGCCGACUUAGCAUUUGCAAUUUGUAUAUUUUAUUAAUUAAUUUAUUGAUUUUAGGCCAAUUGUUGUUUUGCCUCUUUGCCGAUCUGGUAAAUCCCGAUCGAGCUGCCCAACCCCGAUCCCCGAAAGCAGCCGACCCGCUCCGCCCGUUGGCCAAAAACACACAGGGCACAUCUGUCCCGCAUGUAAAUCGCAUAGUUCGCGUUUAAAAAUCAGCCAAAUCAAACUAAAAUCCCUACAGAUCAUAAGAUAAAACCUCAAAUGCAAGUUAACAACGGAUCUUUGAAAACUUGAAUGAAUCUCAAUUCUAUGGCCACCAAAUCCAAUCGAAAUCCAUCUGCAAGUCUGGGGGCCCUGAGCCAAUUUAAGAUGUUCUGCGGCCAGGUGUUGAUUUUUUGGCGGCACUUGGCUCGAUGGGACAUACUAAUUAAGCUCCAAGAUCCGAGAUGCGAGCGCCAAGCUCCAAGCUGUGGCCAACUCACCUUGAACUACAAAAUGUCAGCCAAAAUGGCAAAAAUAAAAGUUAUAAAAUAUAAGCGAUGGCUGAUAUGCCAGAUGAUACAACGCAAUGCUGCAGAGCAUAAACCAGAAACUUGUUAAAAAUAUUAAUACAAAAAAAUACGCAAUGGGACAAUGGCCGCCAUUUCCAUCCCAGUUCCAUUAAGAUCCAAUCCAAAUGCAAAUAGCCAUGCAAAUGGAGCUAAUGGACCCGAUGAUUCCGGCAUAUUUCCAUGCCCAUCACGUAUUUGUGGGCCAGAUUAAUGCCGCCACAUAGACAGAUACAGAUACAGAUGC